GGGACCAUCAUCAGCGUAUCUGUUCUCUCGCUUUUUCCGAGGAGGCAUGUUACUGGGUUGAAUUUGGUGCUUGAUAACAAAUAUAGACGCUGGUGAUCAAGUUUCUUCCAGAGUUUUGGCAAGAGUUCAUCCCAUGAAGUCAGCUGUAGGUGCCAGGGCCCUGCCGGAGAGGGAAUUAAGAGUGUCUGGAGAGGUAGUGUUUGGGACCGGUGAACAGGCAGUGCUGGGGCGAAGAGAACAAAACCAGGUGAUGUCUCCAUUCACUGGUGUUUGUGCCUUAAAGAAAAAAAAGGGCUAUUUAGUACACUUAUCCAAACCAUCCAAAACGUUCGAUGAACAUCAAAUAUCAUUAACCGACACUACAAUAGACUUAUCAUUUUGCAAAGGUUUGAGCAGUUGAGCAAGACUGGACAACUACUCAAUUCUGCUCAAACGUUUUCAACAUUUUGAGUAGCUGGACCUAGCUACAAAACUUUUGACUUUGGUUUUACCAAUUUGGGAAGCGUAUGAUGUUCUUUGACAAAAUAAUGUUUGAUCAAAUGUUGUAAAGGUCUUUAGUUUAGUUGGCUUGCUUUCUCUGCACGAGUAUACUCCUAGGCUAGCUAGCCACUAGCCAGCGCUAGCUAUUGUUAGCAAAACAUGACUACUCUUUUCAGUGACUAAUAGAAAAUACAACAUACAACAGAAAAUACAACAUACCUCUCAUCCUUUGGUGAAGACAUCAUGUUGCUUUCAGUCUUCCCGUGCUGAACAAGCCAGCAGCAACAUUUCUGUAGGAGCAUUUCCACUGUGGCCCUUGUUUCUUUUCUUUGCCUUGACAAACUUGUUGCAAACCAUACCCCACUUUUUCAAACAAGUGGUUGGAUCGGACCCCAGCGUUUUCCGCAAUCACCCUCCAUUAAAUUGGCAUUUACAUGCUGUUCUUUAUGUAAUGCAUGGCAAUAAUUGUAGUGGUUAAUGUACUUCUGUACCUCCUCGGUCAAUCGAUGCUUGAAGUUGUUUUGUUGUUGUUUUUUAUGCUUGAAGUUGUUGUUGUUGUUGUUUUUUUAUGCUUGAAGUUGUUGUUGUUGUUUUUUAUGCUUGAAGUUGUUGUUCGCCAUGUUGAAUACACACUGAGUUUAGGGCUUCUUCUUCUUUAAAGUUGUAUGGUAGACUACACCGGGUGCCGCCACCUAUGAGUUUCGGGCUGAAGAAGAAGAAACAUACGUCACCCUUACAGUUGACCAAUCAAGGACGAAGGGGCAUAUACUUCGGCUCCCGAACUUCGGCUGGCCUCCAGAACAAAAUGUAGUGUGCACGAACAGCCGUCAAAACCCUCGCCGAACACCAUAACGAACAAAAACUUCACAAAAUGUCGUCAUAAUUGUGGCGUAUAGCAGGUCAGCCAUCAGGGGAAGACUGGUCGAGCCCUGGUGACAGACCGAGUAUACAUCACGAGGCGAUGGCUCCCUCUACUGGACUUGCCAGGUCUCGACGGGCUCUCCGGCCAGGACUAAUUGGGGUUGAUUGUGGUUGGUGAGUAAUCAAGGGCUGAUUGCUCACCAGCUGGACGGGUCCCAUAAAGCUGCCAGAAGGGCAGCACACGUAUAGCUGGGGAUGGUUCUGGAGGUAAAGGGAGGGAGUGCUGUUUUUGUUCACCACAGGAUACAGCAAGACCCGGAGCCCAGAAGAAGGUAUCCCCGGAGAGGGUCUCAUGGGGGAGACCUAUUAUUUUCUUUUGGUUUGUUAUUCAAAUAAACACCCUUGAAACUGA